UACGUAGGGUGCGAGCGUUGUCCGGAAUUAUUGGGCGUAAAGAGCUUGUAGGCGGUUUGUCGCGUCUGCUGUGAAAUUCCAGGGCUUAACCCUGGGCUUGCAGUGGGUACGGGCAGACUAGAGUGUGGUAGGGGGAGACUGGAAUUCCUGGUGUAGCGGUGAAAUGCGCAGAUAUCAGGAGGAACACCGGUGGCGAAGGCGGCGAUCUGGGUCGAUACUGACGCUGAGGUGCGAAAGCGUGGGGAGCGAACAGG
rnacentral:rRNA from 1 species